rnacentral:rRNA from 1 species
UGUGAACCUUACCCCUGUUGCCUCCGCGGAGCCGCGCCCCCCCGGGCGCCGGCCGCGGCAGGCCCACAAAACUCUUGUUAUUGUUGGUUAUCUGAGCGUCUUGUUACAUAAAUAAGUCAAAACUUUCAACAACGGAUCUCUUGGUUCUGGCAUCGAUGAAGAACGCAGCGAAAUGCGAUAAGUAAUGUGAAUUGCAGAAUUCAGUGAAUCAUCGAAUCUUUGAACGCACAUUGCGCCCAUUAGCAUUCUAGUGGGCAUGCCUGUUCGAGCGUCAUUAAGUCCAUAAGGCCCCGCCUUGCGUUGGGCGCCUGCGGUCCCCGCAGCGCCUCAAAUCCAUCGGCGGAGCGUCAGCACCCUCUGAGCUUAGUAGCUUUUGUCUAGCUUCUGUAGGAUCUGGCGCCCCUGCCGUGAAACACCCACAUUUCUUGGUUUGACCUCGGAUCAGGUAGGAAUACCCGCUGAACUUAAGCAUAUCAAUAAGCGGAGGAA